CAGUAGCCGCGGUAAAACAGAGGGUGCGAGCGUUAAUCGGAUUUACUGGGCGUAAAGCGUGCGUAGGCGGCUUCUUAAGUCGGAUGUGAAAUCCCUGAGCUUAACUUAGGAAUUGCAUUCGAUACUGGGAAGCUAGAGUAUGGGAGAGGAUGGUAGAAUUCCAGGUGUAGCGGUGAAAUGCGUAGAGAUCUGGAGGAAUACCGAUGGCGAAGGCAGCCAUCUGGCCUAAUACUGACGCUGAGGUACGAAAGCAUGGGGAGCAAACAGGAUUAGAGACCCCGGUAGUCCCUGUCUCUUAUAC
rnacentral:rRNA from 1 species